AGUCAAGGAAGAGUGAAGUGACUUGGGUGAGCAGCAGAGUUGAGGGUUGUGGUCUUUCUGAUGUGCAGUCUCCAUGAGACCAGAUCCAGAACAAUCCAUGCCCCACCGCACUAGCACACAGCUGGUUCCCAUUCCCCAGGCGUGGGAAACAGCCGGGCUGGUUGGAGGCCUGCCAGGGUGGGAGGUCUGGUCACCAGGUGCCCCAGGACAGGGAGGAGGGGGCAAAGCAGGGGGUCCGGCAUUCAGAUUCCCAUACUGGUCUCACCGUUUAUCAUCCGUGUGACCUUGACAAGUGCCUUCUCCUCCCUCGAUGCAGUUUCCCCGUUUGAAAACAGGUGUGAUGUUGUUAAAACCUCCCUGGAGUGUUACAUUAAACGAGGUAGUGGAUGUACAGCUCUUCGUAAAGUGUAAAGUGAUAGAGAGGGUAACAAUAGACACUCUUCCAUAACAAUAGCUGGAAUAAUCGCCUCUGCUGUGGGGACCUCAGUGGCUAGUUUAGGGGUCAUCUUUCCCCGUGAGAUGAGGAAUUACUCCCCUGUGACACACGAGGACAGAAGGCAUUUGCUUUGGUUACAGAGUGAGGGGACUGGCAUUGCUGAGCCUGUGUGCUCCCACGUCACGUGGUCCCUGGCAGGUCCCCACUUUGCCCCUGUCUGACCAAAGCUCCUCCCAGGAAGGGAGACUUUAGGCCCCAAACUUAGCAGGUCCAGACCAACUCCUGAUUGGCUGGCCUAGCCCAGUGCCUGGCACAUCAUAGGUCAAAACAUGCUCGUGGAAUAAAUGCUCAUGAAUGGCGAAUGUGGGGUCUUCCCACACCCUUGACUCAUAAGUUUAAAAUCUACCCAAAAACCCCAGCAUUGCAGAGACAUGCCCAGGCAGACAGGCCCCUCUGUGGAAAGAGCUGUUUGUCAUGGCUAAAGGAACCCAGCCCUGCCAGGGAGCUUCCUCAGGUAGAAAGUUCAGUGUUUAUCUGCGGUUGAUCAGAGGCCCGAGUUGAGUUCCUGGAGCCUCCCUGGGUGAGCACCGCCGGCCUGACCUGCCUCCCCUGCCCAGGGACAGUGCCUCUGGCCUGUCUAGGUCUCUGUGGGGUAUCUGCUUUCUCCCUGAACUCUUGGCAUUGUGCUGGGCACUGAGAAAGGGAUUGAUAAGACCCUUGACCCUCAAAAGAGCCAGAGAGACCUGGGAUGGGAAUAAUUCCCAAAUAAACCAGUGCUUCCCCUCCCUAAACUUUCUCAUAACUCAGGGUCCUCCAAGCCUCAAAAACAUCUCAGGGCCAUGUUCUGCCACAUACAAGUGAUGAGGUGUCCUCAGAGUAAGUUCUCAAUGGUUGGCGACUGUUCUUAUUUUUCAUCACAUCAAAGGGCAGCCACCUUCCUCCGCCAGUGGGGCAACUGAGUGCAGGAGCUCCGCGCCCCAACCACCCACUCAACUUGUGGUCUUGGCGAUGUACAAAGUGUCACAGCCGGAAGGGACACGAAGGUCACAGCCAGGAAAGUGUUUUGCUCAGCCUCUCACUCCCAGGCAUCCACACUCACUGCU
rnacentral:lncRNA from 1 species